CGUAAGACCAAAGAUUUAUCGCCCAAGGAUGAGCCCGCGUAAGAUUAGCUAGUUGGUGGGGGUAAAAAGCCUACCAAGGCGACGAUCUUUAACUGGUCUGAGAGGAUGAUCAGUCACACUGGAACUGAGACACGGUCCAGACUCCUACGGGAGGCAGCAGUGAGGAAUAUUGCACAAUGGGCGAAAGCCUGAUGCAGCGACGCCGCGUGGAGGAUGAAGGAUUUCGGUCUGUAAACUCCUGUCAGUAGGGAAGAGAAUGGACGGUACCUACUGAGGAAGCUUCGGCUAACUACGUG
rnacentral:rRNA from 1 species